GACUGCCCAGGGAGGACGGCGAAC
rnacentral:rRNA from 1 species